rnacentral:rRNA from 1 species
GACGAACGCUGGCGGCGUGCUUAACACAUGCAAGUCGAACGGAAAGGCCCUGCUUUUGUGGGGUGCUCGAGUGGCGAACGGGUGAGUAACCCGUGAGUAACCUGCCCUUGACUUUGGGAUAACUUCAGGAAACUGGGGCUAAUACCGGAUAGGAGCUCCUGCUGAAUGGUGGGGGUUGGAAAGUUUCGGCGGUUGGGGAUGGACUCGCGGCUUAUCAGCUUGUUGGUGGGGUAGUGGCUUACCAAGGCUUUGACGGGUAGCCGGCCUGAGAGGGUGACCGGCCACAUUGGGACUGAGAUACGGCCCAGACUCCUACGGGAGGCAGCAGUGGGGAAUAUUGCACAAUGGGCGGAAGCCUGAUGCAGCAACGCCGCGUGCGGGAUGACGGCCUUCGGGUUGUAAACCGCUUUCGCCUGUGACGAAGCGUGAGUGACGGUAAUGGGUAAAGAAGCACCGGCUAACUACGUG